rnacentral:sRNA from 1 species
UCAAUAGCAGAAGUUCAAGGGUGGUCGGCUUGCCCCUAUUUCCUUUUAAAAGGGGGUGAGCAUAAUGACAGUAUUUGAGUCCCUUUCUCUUAUGAUUUCUUUCGGGAUGCUUGUGAUAGCGGUACUGUCGUUCAAUUAUAAGAAUAAAAAAUAGACCUCCCUUGAACCGCCAAUUCUAGGACGAGGUCUAUUUUACCAAUAGGCCGACUCCUUUGAGUCUGCUAUUGCAAAAGACCGGAAGUGUUGCCGCACUUUCG